UACGUAGGGUGCAAGCGUUGUCCGGAAUUAUUGGGCGUAAAGAGCUUGUAGGCGGUUUGUCGCGUCUGCUGUGAAAUUUCGGGGCUCAACCCCGAACUUGCAGUGGGUACGGGCAGACUAGAGUGUGGUAGGGGAGACUGGAAUUCCUGGUGUAGCGGUGAAAUGCGCAGAUAUCUGGAGGAAUACCGGUGGCGAAGGCGGCAUCCUGGACCGACAUUGACGCUGAACGGCGAAAGCUAGGGGAGCAAACGGG
rnacentral:rRNA from 1 species